UACGUAGGGGGCAAGUGUUGUCCGGAAUCAUUGGGCGUAAAGAGCGUGUAGGCGGUCCGGUAAGUCGGCUGUGAAAGUCCAGGGCUCAACCCUGGGAUGCCGGUCGAUACUGCCGGACUAGAGUUCGGAAGAGGCGAGUGGAAUUCCCGGUGUAGCGGUGAAAUGCGCAGAUAUCAGGAGGAACACCAAUAGCGAAGGCAGCUCGCUGGGACGUUACUGACACUGAGGCGCGAAAGCGUGGGGAGCGAACAGG
rnacentral:rRNA from 1 species